AUCUCUUCUCAUUCUUCCAGGGAAGACCAAGUGUAGGAUCUGUUCCUGCAAGUUUAACAUGCCCAUGUCCAUAUGAGGACAACAUAACAAAUGAAUUUAUGAAGUCAGGAGAUGGAACAGGAGCUUGCUCCAUCCACUCCAUGCAUUGACUCAGCAUUGUAGCGCUUCCAAGAAUGGGAGUUCUCUUU